GACGAACGCUGGCGGCGUGCUUAACACAUGCAAGUCGAACGGAAAGGCCCUGCUUUUGUGGGGUGCUCGAGUGGCGAACGGGUGAGUAACACGUGAGUAACCUGCCCUUGACUUUGGGAUAACUUCAGGAAACUGGGGCUAAUACCGGAUAGGAGCUCCUGCUGCAUUGUGGGGGUUGGAAAGUUUCGGCGGUUGGGGAUGGACUCGCGGCUUAUCAGCUUGUUGGUGGGGUAGUGGCUUACCAAGGCUUUGACGGGUAGCCGGCCUGAGAGGGUGACCGGCCACAUUGGGACUGAGAUACGGCACAGACUCCUACGGGAGGCAGCAGUGGGGAAUAUUGCACUAUGGGCGGAAGCCUGAUGCAGCAACGCCGCGUGCGGGAUGACGGCCUUCGGGUUGUAAACCGCUUUCGCCUGUGACGAAGCGUGAGUGACGGUAAUGGGUAAAGAAGCACCGGCUAACUACGUG
rnacentral:rRNA from 1 species